rnacentral:rRNA from 1 species
AUACGUAGGGUGCAAGCGUUAAUCGGAAUUACUGGGCGUAAAGCGUGCGCAGGCGGUUUUGUAAGACAGAGGUGAAAUCCCCGGGCUCAACCUGGGAACUGCCAUUGUGACUGCAAGGCUGGAGUGCGGCAGAGGGGGAUGGAAUUCCGCGUGUAGCAGUGAAAUGCGUAGAUAUGCGGAGGAACACCGAUGGCGAAGGCAAUCCCCUGGGCCUGCACUGACGCUCAUGCACGAAAGCGUGGGGAGCAAACAGGAUUAGAUACCCUGGUAGUCCACGCCCUAAACGAUGUCAACUGGUUGUUGGGGAUUUAUUUUCUCAGUAACGAAGCUAACGCGUGAAGUUGACCGCCUGGGGAGUACGGCCGCAAGGUUAAAACUCAAAGGAAUUGACGGGG